rnacentral:rRNA from 1 species
GAUGAACGCUGGCGGCGUGCCUAAUACAUGCAAGUCGAGCGAACGGACGAGAAGCUUGCUUCUCUGAUGUUAGCGGCGGACGGGUGAGUAACACGUGGAUAACCUACCUAUAAGACUGGGAUAACUUCGUGAAACCGUAGCUAUUACCGGAUAAUAUUUUGAACCGCAUUGUUCAAAAGUGAAAGACGGUCUUGCUGUCACUUAUAGAUGGAUCCUCGCUGCAUUAGCUAGUUGGUAAGGUAACGGCUUACCAAGUCAACGAUGCAUAGCCGACCUGAGAGGGUGAUCGGCCACACUGGAACUGAGACAAGGUACAGACUCCUACGCGACGCAGCGGUAGGGAGUCGAACGCAAUGGGAGAAAGCCUGAAGGAGCACAGCCGCGUGAGUGAUGAAGGUCCUCGGAUAGUAAAACUCUGUUAUUAGGGAAGAACAUAUGUGUAAGUAACUGUGAACAUCUUGACGGUACCUAAUCAGAAAGCCACGGCUAACUACGUG